rnacentral:rRNA from 1 species
GCUUACGGCCAUACCAGCCUGAAUACGCCCGAUCUCGUCUGAUCUCGGAAGCUAAGCAUGGUCGGGCCUGGUUAGUACUUGGAUGGGAGACCGCCUGGGAAUACCAGGUGCAGUAAGCA